rnacentral:tRNA from 1 species
GGAGAUGUCUCAGUGUUAGAGCAUCUGCUUUACAUGCAGAAGUUCUCUGGUUCAAUCCUGGGAAUAUCCA